CUGUAAGCAGCAAUAAACCAUUGCUAACGAAAAAAUAAUGUCAAGCGUAGUUCAGUUGAUAGUGAUACAGUGUCAACAAUAUAUAUGUCGUUUUUUAGUAAAAUGACCAAAUGGCUUUAUAUAUUUUCUUUAAUAAAAUUUGUCUAAUUUUCCCAGGUUUUAUAAGUUUUUCCAUGUUUUAUCCUUGUUUUUCCCAUUUUCUAGAAAAAUGACUACUCUAAAGUACUUCCCUAGUGAAAUUUCCUUUUAAGAACAUUGCUAUCAUGAAAAGUUGGAGCGAAACUUUGAAAGUUGGAAAGAAACGUUGUGCUCGGAAAAAAACAAAACCGUAAUAUAUUUUAACAAAUAACUACAUUUCUUAUAUUUUCUCGUUUUAUUUUUUGGGUUAUCCAAAUUUGAUGAGAAAACUCUUGAGAAAAUCGAAAAAUGACCUCUACAACGCAGCGCACCAACUGAAUAAAAUUACCUUUCAGAAAAGAUACUAUAUUUAAUACUUCGGAGCACGAUUUUUUUUCAAAAAGUUGUAUACAGACA